UAAGGAAUAUUGGACAAUGGAGGCAACUCUGAUCCAGCCAUGCCGCGUGAAGGAAUAAGGCCCUAUGGGUUGUAAACUUCUUUUAGACGGGACAAAACCCCUUUACGUGUAAAGGGUUGAUGGUACUGUCAGAAUAAGCAUCGGCUAACUUCGUGCCAGCAGCCGCGGUAAUACGAAGGAUGCAAGCGUUAUCCGGAAUUAUUGGGUUUAAAGGGUGCGUAGGCGGACUAAUAAGUCAGUGGUGAAAGCCUGCAGCUUAACUGCAGAAUUGCCAUUGAUACUGUUAGUCUUGAGUACAGUUGAGGUAGGCGGAAUGUGUCAUGUAGCGGUGAAGUGCUUAGAUAUGACAUAGAACACCGAUUGCGAAGGCAGCUUACUACAUAUAAAUUGACGCUGAGGCAGGAAAGCGUGGGGAUCAAACA
rnacentral:rRNA from 1 species